UGGAGCAUAUCAGCUGACUGACAGCGCGCUGACCCAAAUUGACGCAUUGCGUAUGACGUUUCCACCCGGCUUGUCUUCUCUCGUUUCCUUUCAUCCGCAGGUCUUUCUCUGUGUGUAGCCCUAGAUAGAUAGCAUAAUGGCCAACGUUGUGGAUACCAAGCUAUACGACAUCCUCGGAGUCUCACCCUCCGCUUCCGAAAACGAGCUAAAGAAGGCAUACCGCAAGUUGGCCAAAGAGUACCACCCUGAUAAGAACCCAGAUGCCGGGGACAAGUUUAAGGAGAUCAGUUUUGCUUAUGAGGUGCUGACCAAUCCAGAGAAGAAGGAGCUGUAUGAUCGCUAUGGAGAGCAGGGGCUGCGGGAGGGAGGUGGUGGAGGGGCUGGCAUGGACGACAUCUUCUCCCACAUCUUUGGAGGGGGGCUGUUUGGCUUUAUGGGGGGGCAGGGACGUGGAGGGGGGAGGACGCAACGGGGGACGCAGGAGAGGAGAGGAUAUGGUGCACCCCCUCAAAGUAUCACUGGAAGACCUCUAUAAUGGUAAAACAACCAAACUACAGCUCAGCAAGAAUGUCCUGUGUGCUUCCUGCAAUGGUGCGGGGGGUAAGGCAGGGGCGGUGCAGAAGUGUGUGGCCUGCAGAGGGAGAGGCAUGAGGAUCAUGAUCAGACAGCUGGCUCCUGGCAUGGUCCAACAGAUGCAGUCAGUCUGCACAGACUGCAACGGAGAGGGGGAGGUGAUCAGUGAGAAGGACCGUUGUAAGAAGUGUGAGGGUCGUAAGGUGAACAAGGAGACAAAGCUGUUGGAGGUCCAUGUUGAUAAAGGCAUGAAACACGGCCAGAAGAUCAGCUUCACAGGAGAGGCUGACCAGGCCCCAGGCACUGAGCCUGGAGACAUACUACUUGUCCUACAGGAAAAGGAGCAUGAGGGGUUCCGUCGUGACGGCCAUGACCUUCACAUGACGCAGCGUAUCGGCCUGGUGGAGGCUCUGUGUGGCUUCCAACUGGCAGUCACACACCUCGACGGACGCCAGCUCGCUGUCAAAUAUCCCCCCGGCAAGGUUAUAGAGCCAGGUUGUAUCCGGGUGGUGAAGGGAGAGGGGAUGCCUCAGUACAGGAACCCAUUUGAGAAGGGAGAUCUGUUCAUCAAGUUUGACGUCCAGUUCCCUGAAAACAACUGGAUCAGUCCUGAGAAACUCUCUGAGUUGGAGGAUCUGCUGCCUGGGCGUGCGGAGGUUCCAGUUAUCUCAUCGGAGGCGGAAGAGGUUGACCUCCAGGACUGUGAGGUCAGAGGUCAGGGGUCAGCGGGGGCCAGGAGAGAGGCCUACAACGACAGCUCUGAUGAGGAGGGUGGACCACAUGGCCCAGGGGUACAGUGUGCCCACCAGUAGACUGAAUACAUACACACCCUUCUCUCACUGGUCUGUGCGCCCAUCUGUUGAGUACUCUGAGGGAAGGGCACCCCUCCACUGCCCCUCCCCCAGGUCCCAUCAGGACCCUCAAUCCUCUUCAUUCCUCCAUCAGCCAAUCAGUGUGUGUGUUUGAGUGUGGUCAGCAGGCUGUGAUGGAUGUUUAGUGGCCAUUUGACAUCUUAGGUUUGUAGGCUCUACAUCUGUCUGGAAACGUUGUCAUUUGGGAACCUUGUGUACAAAAUGAAAAUAUUGUCUAGUGAAAUUAUUAAUUUAUCUUCUAACAGGCUUCAGUGUCGUAGUCUAGUCUUAGUCACACACCAGCGCAUGCUGAAAACACAUUUAACACAGACCUACCAUAGCCCCUGGUCUACACAGCGGCCUGCUGAGCCACACAGAAAGCUAUUGUAUUGCUUCCUGUAAGCUCAAACGUCUCCCAUCGCUGAGGCACCUCGGGACUACCUGGUCAGAUUUCUCUCCACCAAUAAAAUAGCUUGAAUCUUUAGGCUUAUUUACCUUUGUCAGAAAACAACAUGUUUCUCUUCUGUGUGAGGAUUGUGCUUUUGCGCAUGCGUGCGUGUGACCGCAGAGCUUGUCUUGAGUAGCAUACUCUAAACUGAGUGUGUGUGUGCGUGUGUGAUUUUAGGAGCUGGGUGUGUGUGAGCUGCUGUAGAAUGUUCUGGCUUCUCUGCUCAUAGCGGUGUGUGUUGUGUGUAUCGCCAAUGUGAAUGGAGACCUCGUUUUAUGUUCAAUUAAAGAUAAAAACAAUUGAAUGUGUUGAACUUCUCUCCCACCUUGACCAUGUAACAUUUAGCCCCUAACCUCUGACCUGUGCAUUAUACACAACUUUCCAUGCCAGUACAACUGUCACACAUGCCAUCUCAGCUUCCAUUCCCUUAGCUCUGUAAAUACCAACCCCAGCCCCUGUGCACGGUCACAUCUCAAUACUCUACAGUUGCCUCCUUCCCUCCUAUCCAAAUUCCUGUUCUUCAUCUGCACUGAUGGGACAAGACCGCAUGGUCAUGGUCAGUUGGCACAAAUGUUUUGGAACACUACCUGGAAAAACAAUAAUUUCCUGUUUGAACAUUUUGCAUUAGUGUGCACUAUUGAACAUGAUCCAGGUGAAAGCAGCAUGGUUUACUAGGCCACACAUGGAUUUCCUUGCUCAUGUCGUUCUGUCAGAUCAGUACAGAUGGAGUGGAUAGGAGGCUACUUUAAACUGUAGAGAUGUAGUCAUCUGACUGUCACUGUAUAUAUGCUAUAUAGGCCACUGGAGGGACACGCUACAGACAGGGGCUUUAUUUAGUAAAUGAUGUUAUUAUUGUUGAUGAUGCUCAUGUUUGUUAGGAUGACAAUUAAACUGUAUAAUAAACUGUCA